CAGCCGCCGCGGGAAUACGUAGGUGGCAAGCGUUGUCCGGAAUUAUUGGGCGUAAAGGGCUCGCAGGCGGUUUCUUAAGUCUGAUGUGAAAGCCCCCGGCUCAACCGGGGAGGGUCAUUGGAAACUGGGAAACUUGAGUGCAGAAGAGGAGAGUGGAAUUCCACGUGUAGCGGUGAAAUGCGUAGAGAUGUGGAGGAACACCAGUGGCGAAGGCGACUCUCUGGUCUGUAACUGACGCUGAGGAGCGAAAGCGUGGGGAGCGAACAGGAUUAGAUACCCCCGUAGUCCCUGUCUCUUAUAU
rnacentral:rRNA from 1 species